GAUGAACGCUAGCGGCAGGCCUAACACAUGCAAGUCGAACGGUAACAUGAGGUGCUUGCACCUUGAUGACGAGUGGCGCACGGGUGCGUAACGCGUAUACAAUCUACCUUUUACAGGGGGAUAGCCUUUAGAAAUGAAGAUUAAUACCCCAUGGCAUUAUGGACCGGCAUCGGUCAAUAAUUAAAGUUUCGGCGGUAAGAGAUGAGUAUGCGUUCUAUUAGCUAGUAGGUGUGGUAACGGCACACCUAGGCAACGAUAGAUAGGGGCCCUGAGAGGGGGAUCCCCCACACUGGUACUGAGACACGGACCAGACUCCUACGGGGAGGCAGCAGUGAGGAAUAUUGGACAAUGGGCGGAAGCCUGAUCCAGCCAUGCCGCGUGCAGGAAGACUGCCCUAUGGGUUGUAAACUGCUUUUGUACAGGAAGAAACCUUUCCACGUGUGGAGAGCUGAC
rnacentral:rRNA from 1 species